rnacentral:rRNA from 1 species
GAUGAACGCUAGCUACAGGCUUAACACAUGCAAGUCGAGGGACCGGCGCACGGGUGAGUAAUACGUAUCCAACCUGCCCUUUACUCGGGGAUAGCUUUUAGAAAGAAAGAAUAAUACCUGAUGUAAAGGAUGGGGAUGCGUUCCAUUAGGUUGUGGGUGAGGUAACGGCUCACCAAGCCUUCGAUGGGUAGGGGUUCUGAGAGGAAGAGCCCCCACAAUGGAACUGAGACACGGUCCACACUCCUACGGGAGGCAGGAGUGAGGAAUAUUAGUCAAUGGGCGUUAGCCUGACCCAGCCAAGUGUAGUGAAGAAUGAAGGCUUAGGAAUCUUAAACUUCUUUUAUAUAAGAAUAUGUAUUAUAUGAAUAAGGAUCGGCUAACUCCGUGCCAGCAGCCGCGGUAAUAC